UAUAAGAUUCAAAUUAUACAUAAUUCGCGCCUCGUAGCGCAUAGCGCUCUAGUAUAACAUCAUGUUUCAGUCUCGUGACAAAAAACAUUUGAUUCUUGAAACUCGUCGAGACAAAUCUUCAGUUCACUAGAUUUUCUUUCUUGUUGAGAAGUGCAUACAUAAUCGAAAUAAUGAAUAAUGAAAUUGUUGAAAACACAUGUGCCUCUCAAAUGGAUAACAUUGAUCUUCCGAAAAAAAAAAAUCUAUUAGCAACAUGUAAUACAGAUUGUGAAUAUAUCAACGAUAUUCAACAACAACAACAAUGCAGCGCUUUAUUAGUAGAGCCUACUGACGUCAUUCAUCAAGGUAUACAAUUACCUUUCAACGAUAGUGUUGUACAAGAAAUAGGCAAGAUAAAUAAGAAAAGAAAUGCUGCUAUUGAUGAUGAACUAUUGAAUGUAAAACAAAUGCGAAGAAAUGAUCCCAAUAAUUCUUUAGAGAGACAAGGUAUGUAAGAGAUAUUAAUUAUUUAAUAAACCUUUUUAGUGUGGCCUUAAAGAAAUGUGUAUAUAUUUUAAUAUCUUGUUUGUUUAUCAUAUCAUUUGCAAAGAAAAGUAGAGUUUUUUAAUAUAAACAUUGUAAUUAUUGAAUAGACUUUCGUGUAAUAAUAAACUAUUAUGAUAUUCAGUUAUUUUUGUUUCAGUUAUUUUAUUCAGUUAUUUUUGUAAUUCCUCGGGCUGCUAAUAUAUUUAAUUAUAAUUGUAGAUGAAUCUGACGAAUCUACAACUGAUAUGAAGACGAUAAGAGAAUCUCUACGGUAUAUAUUUAACGAAAACGUUAAGUUAUUUUUACAUACAGGGUUGGGUAAACUUCCGAAAACGAUCAAAUAUCUCGAAAAAGAUCAACUAUAGCAAAAAAUAUUUUGAAAGCUGUUAUACUAACAAUUCUAUUGAAAAUACAUGGAAAUGUAACGAAUUACCGAAAUUGCCUUGCAUUCUACCAAUAACAUUUGAAGAUUUUACAAAAUUAGAACAAUAUCUUUACAAUGAAAACAAUUUAGGUUUUUUGGUAAAAUAAGCAUUCGUAAAAUUAAAAAUGUAAAAAUUAGAACAGCUUAUAAUUAUAAUAAAGUUUUUUCUAGGCAAAUUAUUUGUCAACAAUUGGAAGCUGUGGAGACAUUACAUCAAUAACAAAUAACAUACUUCAUAGCCUUUUAUCAAAUCAAAUUGCAUCGUUGUACAGUUUUUAUGGAAAGCGGAAUAAUAAAAGGUCCUUUGUGCUACUAAAGGUCAAUAGUGUGGUGACUUCAUCAGUUCUUAAGGGACUACCCGGUUUUACGAACAUCAAGUACACGAAUGCAUUAAGGUAUGGCUAAAACGCUCCACAACGCUCUGUUAUAAAAAAGAAGAAGCAGUAGCACAUUAUUGAACGAACCUAUAUCUGAAGAGCAUUCUCUAUAAUUCCACAACUGUUAUCAAACUAUUGUAAUAUUUAUUGUAAUAUUUAUGAAGAGAAAUUAGAAUUAAAAUUUAAUUGUGAUUUUUUAAAUAAUAAGUAAUAACUAAUAAUAUUAAUGUAUAUUAUUACCUAUGAUAAUGCUUAAUGUGUCAAUGAUAUUAAAUGUAUGAUAGUCAUGAAGAGAAUGGAGCAAAUGCUAAAUUUCUUUAAGGGGGCAUAUACCAUAUACCUAGGAGGCCAAAAAAUGGCAAUUUCUUGGAAUUUUUGUUGGAAACUGAUGAAAUUACCGAACUGUGGGUUUUUUUGAAAAUAUACAUUUUGAAGAAACUUUAUAAUUUUUUUUAUUAAAAAAUUGCGCAAAAUCGAAGAUACGAUGUCGCGAAGAGGCAGCCUUGAAAAAAUCUCUUAAAACGGUACCAAGUGUACCUUCAUCAAAAAUCAAUUGAAACAAAAAAUGUUUAAAUAUAUAAUAAUAGAAAGUUAAAAUAUAUAAUAAUAUCUUUGGCGCAUUGUAUUCAAUUUCAAAAAUAUCAUUUUUUGACAAUGUGGUGGGUGUUAAAAUUUAGCACUUUGCACUCCUAUGUCGAAUGUGACUCGACAUCAGUUUUUAUCUCAGGAGCUCCUUUGUUGAAUCUCACUUGACAUUUUUUUGCCUUAUUUUUAAAUUGCCCUAUUUUUUAGUUGAAGUAAAUUUUAAAUAAAACACUUAAAAGCCUUGGGAGCUGGUGGUAACAAAAUUAAAAUAUAAUUUGGAAUGCAAAAGGUUAACGUUGCGAUUUUUAAGACAAAAUCCAUUCAUUUUGUUUCCUCGCCCUCCCCCCCCCUCUAAAAAAUUCAUGAGGUCUAAAAAAAUCCUUACAAUACGCGAUAGAUAAUUAUGUGUAGAAUAGUCACUAGAAAUUUCAAGCAAAUCGGUUCAGUGGUUGUUGAGAUAUUUCUGAUACCAGUUUGAAAAAUUUUGUUUCGAGAAAAAUGCGUUUGAAUAUUCAACAUGUGUUUUUGUUAAUAAAACAUAAAAUUUGUUUAACUUACACAGAGUCGUCAAUUCUAGGCCCAUAAUACAAGUUCUCUGCAGUAGAUGCACAUAUCGUCUAAAUUUUGUUGUCGGCGACAUAUUCGCGCUUCUUUUGUCUGUUCCUGCGUAUAUACCUCGACUUGCGUUAUGCGGCGAUCAUCUUCGCGCGCAGCAUAUUGGUGUGCAUUCGGUCCUCGAGAAAUGCCCAUAAUGCUCAUUAUUCGUAAUAUUGAAGUUAUAUCAUCGUUGAACAUGCAAGCAGCUAUGUAUGCAGCAAUUUCUACUGUAAUAGCACCGCUGUGCGUUUUUAAAGCUAUUUUCCAAAUUAUACUGUUAAAACUUUUAUUGCUAUUCUGUUGUGAGUAUAGUCACCAACACAGCGCUCCAAUAAUGCGUCUUUGAGAUAUUAGACACGAAGUAUUAGACACGAAACCAAAGGGACGGGCCGUGGUCAAACCAUAAUAUCUCAACAGCGCGCGGCGCGGUGCAGCGUGCCAAUAUGCUAUCAGUCAUAUGAUAAAACUAUAAUAUGUUAUUUUUCGGAAUUUUGACUUGAAAUUUUCACCAGACAUUCUCGAAAAAUUGUAAAAUUGUAAUAUGUAAUACGCCGCGGGCCUGAUAGUUUAUUAAUACAUACAAGGCAUUGCAGUUCUGUCCUGUUGUUUGGUUGCUAGGCAACCGAUCAUCAGUGAGUCGCUCUUUCCGUUUUAAAAGGACUAACACGUACAAUUAAUCUUUACGUUUAAAUGCCCAAAAAUGUAUUUUAAAUAAAAUAAUUAAAGAAUCUCACAAUAUUAAACAUUAUAAAUAUGUAAUAAUCCAAAAAUUGAUUUUUUUGACCUUGCUAGGUAUAUAUGCCCCCUUAAGAUGCCCAAAGUUUCAUAUUAACAUUUUUAAAUACGACAAUGAAUUACAUGAUAUUAAUAAAUAUAUCAUGCAAACAAGAAGUAUGAGAUUACUGUUAACAGGCAAAGGAUUAAAACAGAUAUUGAUAUUUCAGGAUCUAAAAUUCUUCUAGGUCUAAUAAGAAAAGGAAGAUAUACAUGUGAAUCAUACUUCUAUUACUUCAUUUAUCCAACGGAGUCGAAAUUAGUAAGUUGAACUCAUAAUGGGAGAUAUAUCUAGCUAUUAUAUCUGAUUUAGUUGAAACAGUGCAGAUAACUUCCGUAACAUUAGCAAAGAUGUUAGAUAAGUGGAGAUAAGAGGAGCGAGAGAGAAGUAUGUCAGAGCAAUUCAUGUAACAGGCGAACUCGAUGGCCGUCAUUCCUGUCGAAUCACUGAAGCCAACGGAAGCGAAUUCUCCGGUGGCUGAUGUAACAUCGUGGAGACCCACUGACACGCAUCAAACGAUAAUGCUUAUCCUGAGACAGAUUAUGCGGAGAAAUGUUUUUUCAAUUUAAAUUCCUGCUUUGCGACACAGGAAGUUGCAAUCUUCUAAAUUCGUAAGACUUCCACGAAAAUAACGUCACCAAAGAAGUAUCGCAUACAGACACAAAACUAAUUAUGUGGACACAGAAUUGUUGCACGUUUAUUUUAUGCUACUCACUGAAUAUUUUAUAUUAUAUUCAUUAAAUAUUUACGUUAUUUUAUGCGAAUUCACUAAAUAUGUAUUAUAAUUUUUAAGAAUAACUCUCGAGUGAAAGUGAUAACCUUUACCAGUGAUACAUUUCCGUCUCUCAAAAGCAAACUUGUAUUGAAACUAAAAACAUUCAAAUCACAUUUAAUAGUAUUUAAUCGCAAAUUUUAUGAGAAAGUAGCAUUAAAUAAAAUUUUUUACGCUAAUACUAAUAA